rnacentral:rRNA from 1 species
GCUUGUACUGCGGAGGACAUUG